UGUGUAACUGCGUUUGCUGUAUCUGCUGUUGCUUCUCAGUGGGAACGGACUGGAAAGCCUUUCAACCCACUGCUGGGAGAGACUUAUGAAUUAGUGCGAGAUGACCUUGGAUUUAGACUCAUCUCCGAACAGGUCAGCCAUCACCCACCAAUCAGUGCAUUUCAUGCUGAAGGAUUAAACAAUGACUUCAUCUUUCAUGGCUCAAUCUAUCCCAAACUGAAAUUCUGGGGGAAGAGUGUAGAAGCAGAACCCAAAGGAACCAUCACCUUGGAGCUCCUUGAACACAAUGAGGCAUAUACAUGGACAAAUCCCACCUGCUGUGUGCAUAAUAUCAUUGUGGGUAAACUGUGGAUCGAACAGUACGGCAAUGUGGAAAUCAUAAACCACAAGACUGGGGACAAAUGUGUGUUGAAUUUUAAGCCAUGUGGCCUUUUGGUAAGGAAUUACACAAAGUUAAAGGCCACAUUCAAGAUAAAAG